rnacentral:rRNA from 1 species
AGAGUUUGAUCCUGGCUCAGAACGAACGCUGGCGGCGUGCCUAACACAUGCAAGUCGAACGAGAAAGUUUCUUCGGAAACGAGUAAAGUGGCGCACGGGUGAGUAACACGUGAAUAAUCUGCCUUCGAGACUGGGAUAACUUGACGAAAGUUAAGCUAAUACCAGAUAAGACCACGCUUCACAAGGAGUGCGGGAAAAGGGAUCUCAAAUCCUGCUCGUAGAUGAGUUCGCGUACCAUUAGCUUGUUGGUGAGAUAAAAGCUCACCAAGGCGACGAUGGUUAGCCGGCCUGAGAGGGUGAUCGGCCACACUGGAACUGAGACACGGUCCAGACUCCUACGGGAGGCAGCAGUGGGGAAUCUUGCGCAAUGGGCGAAAGCCUGACGCAGCAACGCCGCGUGAGCGAUGAAGGCCUUCGGGUCGUAAAGCUCUGUCAAGUGGGAAGAACACAAUGACGGUACCACUAGAGGAAGCCCCGGCUAACUUCGUGCCAGCAGCCGCGGUAAUACGAAGGGGGCAAGCGUUGUUCGGAAUUAUUGGGCGUAAAGCGUAUGUAGGUGGUUUAUCAAGUCAGACGUGCAAGCCCUCGGCUCAACCGAGGAAUUGCGUUUGAAACUGAUAGACUUGAGUGUAGGAGAGGAAAGCGGAAUUCCCAGUGUAGCGGUGAAAUGCGUUGAUAUUGGGAAGAACACCGGUGGCGAAAGCGGCUUUCUGGCCUGCUACUGACACUGA